GGGGAAUAUUGGACAAUGGGGGCAACCCUGAUCCAGCAAUGCCGCGUGUGUGAAGAAGGUCUUCGGAUCGUAAAGCACUUUCGGCGGGGACGAUGAUGACGGUACCCGCAGAAGAAGCCCCGGCUAACUUCGUGCCAGCAGCCGCGGUAAUACGAAGGGGGCUAGCGUUGCUCGGAAUUACUGGGCGUAAAGGGCGCGUAGGCGGCUUGGCCAGUCAGGCGUGAAAUUCCUGGGCUUAACCUGGGGACUGCGCUUGAUACUGCCAGGCUUGAGGCCGAGAGAGGGUGGUGGAAUUCCCAGUGUAGAGGUGAAAUUCGUAGAUAUUGGGAAGAACACCGGUGGCGAAGGCGACCACCUGGCUCGGUACUGACGCUGAGGCGCGACAGCGUGGGGAGCAAAC
rnacentral:rRNA from 1 species